UACGUAGGCAGCGAGCGUUGUUCGGAAUUACUGGGCGUAAAGCGUGUGUAGGCGGCUUUGCAAGUCGGGUGUGAAAGCCCCAGGCUCAACCUGGGAAGUGCACUCGAUACUGCUAAGCUAGAGUGUCGGAGAGGUUGGUGGAAUUCUCGGUGUAGAGGUGAAAUUCGUAGAUAUCGAGAGGAACACCGGUGGCGAAGGCGGCCAACUGGACGAACACUGACGCUGAGACACGAAAGCGUGGGGAGCAAACAAG
rnacentral:rRNA from 1 species